rnacentral:rRNA from 1 species
AGAGUUUGAUCCUGGCUCAGGACGAACGCUGGCGGCGUGCCUAACACAUGCAAGUCGAGCGGAGUUUGGCCGGUUUUAAUUUCGGUUAAAACCGGCCAAACUUAGCGGCGGACGGGUGAGUAACACGUAGGUAACCUGCCCAUGACACGGGGAUAGCUUCGGGAAACCGAAGGUAAUACCCGAUACCUUUACGCAUCCAAUGGUGUGUAAAGAAAGCGAUUUAGCGGUCAUGGAUGGGCCUGCGUCCCAUUAGCUAGUUGGUGAGAUAACAGCCCACCAAGGCAACGAUGGGUAGCCGGCCUGAGAGGGCGACCGGCCACACUGGAACUUAGAUACGGUCCAGACUCCUACGGGAGGCAGCAGUGGGGAAUUUUGCGCAAUGGGGGAAACCCUGACGCAGCGACGCCGCGUGAGCGAUGAAGGCCUUCGGGUCGUAAAGCCCAGUCAUUGGGGAUGAAAAGGACAGUACCCAAAGAGGAAGCCCCGGCUAACUACGUGCCAGCAGCCGCGGUAAUACGUAGGGGGCGAGCGUUGUCCGGAAUUACUGGGUGUAAAGGGCGUGUAGGCGGGGAUGCAAGUUACCGGUAAAAACCCGUGGCUCAACCACGGGCUUGCCGAUAAAACUGCAUCUCUUGAGUGUAGGAGAGGGAAGUGGAAUUCCCGGAGUAGCGGUGAAAUGCGUAGAUACCGGGAGGAACACCAGUGGCGAAGGCGGCUUCCUGGCCUAUCACUGACGCUGAGGCGCGAAAGCUAGGGGAGCGAACGGGAUUAGAUACCCCGGUAGUCCUAGCCGUAAACGAUGGUCACUAGUGUGGGUGGUGGUCAAGCCAUCCGUGCCGGAGCUAACGCA